AGUGAACGCUGGCGGUAGGCCUAACACAUGCAAGUCGAACGGCAGCACAGUAAGAGCUUGCUCUUACGGGUGGCGAGUGGCGGACGGGUGAGGAAUACAUCGGUAUCUACUUUUUCGUGGGGGAUAACGUGGGGAAACUUACGGUAAUACCGCAUACGACCUACGGGUGAAAGCAGGGGAUCUUCGGACCUCGCGCGAUUGAAUGAGCCGAUGUCGGAUUAGCUAGUUGGCGGGGUAAAGGCCCACCAAGGCGACGAUCCGUAGCUGGUCUGAGAGGAUGAUCAGCCACACUGGAACUGAGACACGGUCCAGACUCCUACGGGAGGCAGCAGUGGGGAAUAUUGGACAAUGGGCGCAAGCCUGAUCCAGCCAUGCCGCGUGGGUGAAGAAGGCCUUCGGGUUGUAAAGCCCUUUUGUUGGGAAAGAAAAGCAGCAGGUUAAUACCCCGCUGUUCUGACGUUACCCAAAGAAUAAGCACCGGCUAACUUCGUG
rnacentral:rRNA from 1 species